GACGAACCGUGCGAACGUUAUUCGGAAUCACUGGGCUUAAAGCGCGUGUAGGCGGGCCGGCACGUCGGUCGCUGAAAUCCCCCGGCUCAACCGGGGAAGGGGCGCCGAUACGACCGGCCUGGAGGGGCGUAGGGGGACCGGGAACUUCCGGUGGAGCGGUGAAAUGCGUUGAGAUCGGAAGGAACGCCCGUGGCGAAAGCGCGGUCCUGGACGCCUGCUGACGCUGAGACGCGAAAGCCAGGGGAGCGAACGGGG
rnacentral:rRNA from 1 species